rnacentral:rRNA from 1 species
AUGGGCUUCAUGGGGGCGAAGCUGUUCCCGUCGUGCGAGAGCAUGUGCGUCUGCUGCCCGGCGCUGCGCCCGAGCUCCCGCCGCCCCGUCAAGCGGUACAAGAAGCUGCUCGCUGAGAUAUUCCCCAAGACGCCUGAGGGUCCACCAAAUGAGAGGAAAAUCAUGAAGUUAUGCGAGUAUGCUGCCAAGAAUCCCCUGCGCAUUCCAAAGAUUGCCAAGUUUCUGGAACAGAGGAGUCGCAAGGAACUGCGUGCUGCUCAUUUGAACUAUGUCAAGAUAAUCACUGAAGCAUACAGCAAGCUACUCUUCAUUUGUAAGGAGCAGAUGGCAUAUUUUGCCAUCAGCCUGGUGAACGUCCUCACCGACCUUCUGGAAAGCAAGCAGGAGGACAUUCAUAUCCUUGGAUGUCAAACUUUCGCGAGGUUUAUUUACAGCCAGGUAGACAACACAUAUGCACGGAAUAUUGAGAGCUUGGCCCACAAAGUGUGCACACUUUCACGGCAACAGGGAGUGGAGCAUAGUCUUCUGCGGGCAGCAAGCCUACAGUGUCUCUCAGCAAUGAUCUGGUUUAUGAAGGAACAUUCAUACAUAUUUGCUGAUUUUGAUGAGAUGGUGCAGUCGGUCUUGGAAAAUUAUAGGAUGGAUGGAACUGCUGGUGGUGAUGAUGACAGACAUGCAUCACAGCAUAACUGGGUUGAUGAAAUAGUCAGGCGUGAGGGAAGAGCUGGUUUAGGUGGAGGUAAUGAUGUAAAUUUCUGUAGUGCAACAACUACUAGACUGCGAUCAGCAAGGGACUCUUCAGCACUGACCAGGGAGGAGCGCGAAUCUCCAGAAGUAUGGUCCCAUAUUUGUGUUCAGAAGCUUGCAGAACUGGCCAAAGAGAGUACAACUAUGCGACGCAUCCUUGAUCCAAUGUUUUCUUACUUUGAUAUGAAGAAACAAUGGGCUCCUCGGCAUGGAUUAGCUUUGCUUGUCAUGUCUGAUAUGUCUUAUCUAGAGAAGAGUUCAGGCAACGAACAAUUGAUUUUGACUGCUGUCAUCCGUCAUCUGGACCACAAGAAUAUUUUGCAUUGUCCUCAGACUAAAUCUGAUAUUAUUCAGACAGCAACAUCUUUGGCACGACAGCUGCGAUCACGAGGAGUUGCUCCUGAACUUGCAGUAACAGGUGACUUGUGCAGGCACUUGAGGAAAACACUAGAGGCCAUGGAGUCAGCCAGUGUUCAAGAGCUGAGCUUGAAUGAGUCUCUUCAAAAUUUCCUGGAGGGCUGUCUUGUUGAAGUCGUAAGAGGAGUUAAAGAUGUGCGGCCACUUUAUGACAUGAUGGCAAUUACAUUGGAGAAUUUGCCUUCUAUUCCUGCUGUUGCUAGAGCAACUAUUGGAAGUUCGCUGAUACUUUGCCACAUAAUCUCUUUGACAUCAGUAUCUUCGGACGCUCCUAUGCAGGUGUUUCCGGAAGCACUCCUCCAGCAGAUAUUGAGAUCCAUGGUACAUCCAGAUGCAGACACUCGUGUGGGGGCGCACCACAUAUUUUCUGCUGUAAUUGUCCGAGGCCCAAGCCAUCAGAGGGGUGAUUCAGAGUACCUAUUUGCAACAAAAAAGUGUCAAUCUCGAUCACCGUCAGUGUUUGCUUCAGCUACUGCUCUACUUGAGAAGUUAAGGAGAGAGAAAGAAUGCUUAGGUUCAGAUAAGCCUGGACAUAUGAUGCAUGAUGAUGGGAAGGAAAGAAACACCCAUGAAGAGGAUAAUAAGCAUGUUUGGGCACGAAAAAGCCCGGCUUAUUUUUCAAAGUUGGUCUUCUCUUUCGUCGAUCGAUGGGCAACACUAGCUAGUUCUGCUGAGGAAACCAAAAUCGUCCUGUUAACUGAAGAUCAAACAAAUCAAUUGCUGUCUGCGUUUUGGAUACAGGCCAAUCAGACCGAUAACACUCCUUUUAAUUAUGAGGCCAUUGGUCAUUCAUACAGCCUCACAGUUCUUUCUUCCCGCCUUAAGAAUUCAAGCAACAGUAAUAACAUUCAGUUCUUCCAGUUGCCUCUGUCCCUCCGAAGUAUUGCUUUAACUCCAAGUGCAGGCCUGCCCCCUUCUUGCCAACGGUCUAUUUUUUCCUUAGCAACGAGUAUGCUGGCUUUUGCUGGAAAAGUCUGUCAUAUUGUUGAAUUGGCAGAGUUGCUAAGGUGUUUUACCUCAUCCAAUAUUGAUUCUUAUCUAAGAAUUGGUGAAGAUUUGCAACUCUAUGUAAGGUUGCAAUCGGAUCUUGGCAGCUAUGGCUCUGAAAGUGAUCAAGACAUUGCUAGGUCUGUACUUUCUGAUUGCAGAAAGAAAGUGGGGAUAAAUGAUCAUCGAGUGCUUGAUGUGAUUGCCUGUGCACUUUCAAAUUUAACAGAGAUGGACAAGGAUGCAUUGGCGAAGGAGCUCACAGAGAUGUUUACUCCUGAAGAAGUUCCCUUGUUUGGUUCAAAUUCAGUCCUUGACUGGGCCAACUUUCACGCGCAGGCAUUUUCCGAUGAAUCCCUUUCUUUUGAUGAGGAGUGUUCAAGAACAUCUUCGGUAGAUGGUGGAUUGCAUGACUCACCAAUUACAAAUACUGCUAGCUCCACAUCCAAGAUUACGCUUCCUCAUUCCGCUCCCCGUGUCCUGGGUGUUGGUCAGCUGCUUGAAUCGGCGCUGCAUGUAGCUGGCCAGGUUGCAGGGUCAUCCGUUUCUACCUCCCCCCUCCCAUACGGCACAAUGACUAGUCAAUGUGAGGCCCUGGGAUCGGGCACCAGGAAGAAGCUAUCAAGCUGGCUCGUGAAUGGCCACAGCUCGACUCCAGACAAUCCUGUGCCAAGCCUUCCCGCUGCCGAUCAUUUCAUCCUUCCUAAGGUAAAUUCCUGUGGCUUCGAGAUCAACCGCACGUUAUCGGAGCCGUGCUCCAUGGUGAAGCUUCCACCGGCCAGCCCAUUCGACAACUUCCUGAAGGCAGCUUAUCGCACCCCGCAGGAGAUGUGA